rnacentral:rRNA from 1 species
UACGUAGGGGGCUAGCGUUGUCCGGAAUCAUUGGGCGUAAAGAGCGUGUAGGCGGCUUGGCAAGUCCGCUGUGAAAACUCGAGGCUUAACCUCGAGACGUCGGUGGAAACUGCUUGGCUAGAGUCCGGAAGAGGAGAGUGGAAUUCCUGGUGUAGCGGUGAAAUGUGCAGAUAUCAGGAAGAACACCCGUGGCUAAGGCGGCUCUCUAGUACGGUACUGACGCUGAGACGCGAAAGCGUGGGGAGCGAACAGG